rnacentral:lncRNA from 1 species
GAAAGAAGUGAUGAUGUGUGGGUGAAUGUGGAGCACUGAAUUAGCCACAAAGGUCAUGUCAAGUUAGUCACUAAACACAGAAACACAUACACUCUUCCUUUGGUAUUGUCACUAAGGUUGGCCACAAAUAAGUGAAAUGCAAGGAAAUGAAUUAUGCAUUUUUUCAUUGAAGCAUGGAACAAGACUUGUAACUCAUGAAUAUCUAUCUCCUUUUGACCAACAAUAAAAGUAACCCUUAUCCUAUCCGACCAAAAGAGAUGUUCCCCCCACCCUUCCUUUUCAUCUUCAUUUUCCAAAUCAUUAUUUUUUAUAACCUAAUCUCAUUUUACUC